UCGUCCGAGAUACUGGGAACCAUGGCGGUGUCGGUGGAAAAAAUCCCGGGCUGCUGGAGAUGCUCAGCUUACCCCAGCAGCCGGCUGGCUCCUGUCCGGGCGGGUGUGCAAACAGCCCGGGGAUGAAUGUGGCUCAAAACCAACAAUUUCGAACUAGCAGAGCCAAACUUAGUUUAGGCCAGCAUUUGACCACAGUCUAAUUUACUAUCCACGCAGAACAGACCUCAGAAUUUGAAGAUACACUAAAACUUCAAAUGGCCAUGCACAUCACAGACUGCAUCACCAAGAAGAGCUCCGUGACCUCAUCCCUGGACUAUCUGGAAACACCCUCACUUCUCCCUUCACCUUCGGUGUAGUGACCUCUGAAUUGCCUCGUCAGUUCCUAGGCUUUGUGGACAGGGAUAUGUCCUAUACACACCUCUGCAAAGCACACGGGCUGUCUGUCCUUCUGUCAUAAUAACCAGGUGACGGUAUAUCUUUGCUACAACAGACACCACGCAAGCCAACUGAAGGUAAACAAAGUUUAGUAGCUGGAAUGACCCUGUAAUUUAAACAAGUUGUUACAUGGGGGUAGCCAGAGAGAUGGCUGCGGUCCAAAAGACUUCUCCUACACCCUGGGUGCAAUCCUGCUCUUACACAAGGUCUGUAUCUCCUCUCAGACGAGCUGGUACCUAAACCUGCGGGAUCACAGUAGGGAUCCCAGCCGGUCGGUCAGAGGCACGAUGAUACAGCACUCCACAAAACGGAUAAGCAAAAUACUCGUGUGAGGUUUGGAACGGUCGUUUCUCCCAGAUAAGGGGCUCGAAGCAAGGCAGGAUCCGAGCUUCGGGAUUCAAUUCAGUUAAACGUUUACGUACAGGCAACCAAUUCAAACCAACGUGCUCCUGCCCCCGCCCCCGUCCAGGGCUUCCCUGCAGCUCCGCACAACCGCGCCGCUGCUGCUUUAAGAGGACGCUUGGCGUCC